AAUAAAUGAGUCAUCUCACAAUA
rnacentral:siRNA from 1 species